AGGCUGAAGUGAUCAUGAACUACCACAUCGGGGAGACUGUGCUGUCACUGCAGAAGACCACACGAAUACCCGGCAGCUUAGAGUCUGGUCUACACAACAGUCUGUUGGCGUCCUGGUGCCCUUCACUUCCCACGAGGACCAUGACGUCUUUCAGCACUUAGAUGCACAUGCGCUCAGAGCCCCCCCCCCCCUCUGUGUGGGAGGGACCACCUCAGCUUCCGCUCCUACUACUUCCCUGUGAAGAAUGUGAUAGACGGAGAUCUGUGUGAGCAGUUCGACUCCAUGGACCCCCACAAGCAGAAGAGUUGCUGAAGAGCUGGACCGUACACCACCUGAGGUCUCAAAGAAACUGGAGGACAUCCGCACACGUUAUGCCUUCUAGAACCCUCGUGUUCUGUACAUGCACAAAUACACUCACACAUACAAACUGUAAUUUACAACAACUGACAUGUUGAGACUGACACCUGUUCCACUGUGUUAACAUGAAGAGGUGGGAGGUGAACACAUUUUUCAAAGUCUUCAUCUGUAGGUGCUUUGAUUUGUCCUCUAGGCCCUGAUUUGUUUGUUAGGCCUAUAAAUACUAUAAUACUAAUAAUAAUCUAUGGUGAAUAUUUACCCUGUGGUUUUCACUC
ensembl:lncRNA